GAACUAGUGAGAAAUUAAUGCAUUCUGUCAAUAGUUACACCGCAACCACGUAAAAGACGCACCAUGACCGUCAAAGGCAAGCAGGAUAACAGACAUCUGAGAAACGACCCUGUCAUCUCCCUCGCUGGAGAGGAAACAAAAGAUUGUCUUCAUGAAUCUGGUGCUGAUGGAUUCGUCUUCUCCGCGAGGCUGAGUGGGUUUGCAGCAGACGGAGAAGCUCCAUUAUUCAGGCCCAGGCCUGGCAGCACCGCAGAACCCGAGGAGACCGGGAGGCCGGCGGAGGUGCCAUCACAUCUGUCCAGCAGGCCG